rfam:Capsicum annuum cultivar Zunla-1 chromosome 2, whole genome shotgun sequence
UACCUGGUUGAUCCUGCCAGUAGUCAUAUGCUUUUCUAAAAGAUUAAGUUAUUCAUGUGUAAGUAUGAACAAAUUCAGACUGUGAAACUACAAAUGGCUCAUUAAAUCAGUUAUAGUUUGUUUGAUGGUAUCAACUACUCAGAUAACUAUAGUAAUUCUAGAGAUAAUAUGUGCAACAAACCCUGACUUCAAAAAGGGAUGCAUUUAUUAGAUAAAAGGUUGAUGCAGGCUUUACCCAUUACUGUGAUAAUUCAUGAUAACUUAAUGGAUCGCACGACCAUUAUGCCGAUGAUGCAUCAUUCAAACUUUUUCCCUAUCAACUUUUAAUGGUAAGAUAGUGGCCUACCAUGUUGGUAACAGGUGAUGAAGAAUUAGGGUUCGAUUCCAAAGAGGGAGCCUAAAAAUGGCUACCACAUCCAAGGAAGGCAUUAGGCAUGCAAAUUACCCAAUCCUAACAUGGGGAGGUAGUGACAAUAAAUAAUAAUACUACACUCAAUGAUUCUGGUAGUUGGAAUAAGUACAAUCUAAAUCCCUUAACGAGGAUACAUUAGAGGGAAAGUCUAGUGCCAGCAACUACGGUAAUCUAGCUCCAAUAGCGUAUAUUUAAGUUGUUACAGUUUAAAAGGCCGAAGUUGGAAUUUGGGAUAAGUCGAUCGAUCCGUCUAUAGUAUGCACCAAUCGUGUCAUCCCUUCUGUCGGUGAUGUGCUCCUGGCCUUAACUGGUUUGGUUGUGCCUACGGUGCCGUUACUUUGAAGAUAUUAGAGUGUUCAAAGCAAGCCUUCGCUCUAUAUACGUUAGCAAUGGGAUAACAUUAUAGGAUUUCGAUUCUAUUACAUUGUCCUUCGAGAUCAGAGUAAUGAUUAACAGACAUGGUUAGCGGCAUUUGUAUUUCAUAGUCAGAGGUGAAAUUCUUGGAUUUAUGAUAGACAAACAACUGGGAAAGCAUUUUCCCAGGACUUUUUCAUUAAUCAAGAACAAAAAUUGGGGGCUCAAAGAUGAUCAGCUACCGUCCUAGUCUUAACCAUAAACGAUGCUGACCAGGGAUCGGUGGAUGUUGCUUUUAGGACACCACCGACACCUUAUGAGAAAUCAAAGUUUUUGGGUUUCGGAAAGAGUAUGGUCGCAAGGGUAAAACGUAAAGGAAUUAACGGAAGGGCACCUCCAGGAGUAGAGCCUGAGGCUUAAUUUGACUCAACACGGCAAAACUUACCAGGUCCAGACAUAGUAAGGAUUGACACUCUAAGAGCUCUUUCGUAAUUCUAGGGGUUGUGGUGCAUGGCCGUUCUUAGUGGACGGAGCAAUUUGUCUGGUUAAUUCCAUUAACGAAUGAGACCUUAGCCUGUUAACUAGCUAUGCAGAGGUAUCCCUUGGCAGCCAGCUUCUCAGAGGGACUACGACCUGUUAGGCUGUAGAACUUUAAGGCAAUAAUAGGUCUGUGAUGCCCAUAGAUGUUCUAGGCUGAAUGUGCGCUACAUUGAUGUAUUCAACGAGUUUAUAGCCUUGGCCGACUAGCUUGGGAAAUCAUUGAAAUUUCAUCGUGAUAAGGAUAUAUCAUUGCAAUUAUUGGUCUUCAAAGAGGAAUUCCUUGUAAGCGUACUCAUCAACUCGCAUUGACUAUGUCCUGCCCUUUUCACACACUUCCCUUUUCUCCUACCGAUUGAAUGAUAUGGUGAAAUAUUUGGAUCAUGGUGACAUGGGUGGUUCGCUGCCUGCAACGUCAUGAGAAGUCCACUGAACCUUAUCAUUUAGAGGAAGAAGAAUUCAUAACAAGAUUUUUGUAGGUGAACCUACAGGAUGAUCAUUG